rnacentral:misc_RNA from 1 species
GAUGAAGAACGUAGCGAAAUGCGAUGAGUAAUGUGAAUUGCAGAAUUCAGUGAAUCAUCGAAUCUUUGAACGCAUCUUGCGCUCCUUGGUAUUCUGAGGAGCAUGCCUGUUUGAGUGUCAUUAAAUUCUCAACUACACUGACUUUGAAUUGGUGUGGCUUGGAUUUGGGGGGAAAAUUGUUGUGGGCUUUUUGUAUAGUCUGCUCCCCUGAAAUUGAUUAGCGGUACCUUUGUGGAACUGUCUACAGGUGUGAUAAUUAUCUACAUCUUAGACAUCUGCUGGAAUGCUGCUUUCUAAACCUUACUUGUAUUGACAAUCUUGACCUCAAAUCAGGUAGGACUACCCGCUGAACUUAAGCAUAUCAAUAAGCGGAGGA